ACGUAACACAUUCUUUCUUCAUCUCUCUUCAUCGAUUUUCACACAACACAGCACAGGAAAAAAUCAAAAUCCCCAAGUCACUAAAUCCUUAUUCUCCUUCUCUCAGCCAUCCACCCAAACCCAAAAUAAACCAACUCUCUCUCAGGUUAGACAGUUUCCAAGACUUCUUAACACUCUUUUUGAUACUUUACUUCCUCAAAUCAACAAACAAACCAAUUCCCUUUUUAUUUUUUUUUGUCAAUUACAUUCGCACAUAUAUACCAUGCACCGUUAACACAAGCAAGCAAUCUGUUGAAAGAUACAGACACCCUUUUGUACUCUUUUUUCUGGGUUUGCAAUGUUGAACUAAUAAAUGAAGGGAGAGGAUCAGGCGAGGUAUUUGUCCGGGAUUUCUUUAUCUGACCUGCCUAAAUGGCAACAGUUUCUUAUUUGCUCUUCCGGGUUCUUCUUUGGUUAUCUCAUUAAUGGCAUCUGCGAGGAAUAUGUGUAUAAUCAGCUCCAGUUCAGGUUCUUAUGGGUUGACUAAGGGGUCCCUGACCUUUCUUAACUAUCCAGCUCAAAUCAUGUUCAAAUCCACCAAGGUAAAUUUAGUUCUUAUGAAUCUUAUCUAACUCUUGUCAUAUUAAGUUGGAUGUGAAAGGUCUUGUUUUUUUAAAAUCUCUUGUACAUGACACACCAGCAGAUUGUUUGUUUUAAGUUUGUUAAUUAUUAGUUAAUAAAAAGUUAUUUAAAUUAUGUAUGAAUUUUUAUUUGAACCAUGUAUUUUAAGAUGCUUGAACUAUGUAUGAAUUUUUAUUUGAAGGCU